rnacentral:rRNA from 1 species
UACGUAGGGUGCGAGCGUUGUCCGGAAUUAUUGGGCGUAAAGAGCUUGUAGGCGGUUUGUCGCGUCUGCUGUGAAAUCCGGGGCUCAACCCCGGACUUGCAGUGGGUACGGGCAGACUAGAGUGUGGUAGGGGAGACUGGAAUUCCUGGUGUAGCGGUGAAAUGCGCAGAUAUCAGGAGGAACACCGAUGGCGAAGGCAGGUCUCUGGGCCAACUACUGACGCUGGAGA